CGUAGGGUGCAAGCGUUAAUCGGAAUUACUGGGCGUAAAGCGUGCGCAGGCGGUUAUAUAAGACAGAUGUGAAAUCCCCGGGCUCAACCUGGGAACUGCAUUUGUGACUGUAUAGCUAGAGUACGGUAGAGGGGGAUGGAAUUCCGCGUGUAGCAGUGAAAUGCGUAGAUAUGCGGAGGAACACCGAUGGCGAAGGCAAUCCCCUGGACCUGUACUGACGCUCACGCACGAAAGCGUGGGGAGCAAACAGGAUUAGAUACCCUGGUAGUCCACGCCCUAAACGAUGUCAACUGGUUGUUGGGUCUUCACUGACUCAGUAACGAAGCUAACGCGUGAAGUUGACCGCCUGGGGAGUACGGCCGCAAGGUUG
rnacentral:rRNA from 1 species